rnacentral:rRNA from 1 species
UACAGAGGUCUCAAGCGUUGUUCGGAUUCAUUGGGCGUAAAGGGUGCGUAGGCGGCGCGGUAAGUCGGGUGUGAAAUCUCGGAGCUUAACUCCGAAACUGCAUUCGAUACUGCCGUGCUUGAGGACUGGAGAGGAGACUGGAAUUUACGGUGUAGCGGUGAAAUGCGUAGAUAUCUGGAGGAACACCGGUGGCGAAGGCGGCAUCCUGGACCAACACUGACGCUGAGGAGCGAAAGCCAGGGGAGCAAACGGG